AUAUAUUGUAAAUAUAAUAAAAAAAAAAAAAAAAAAAAAAAAGUAUCUGUUCUUAUCAGUUUAAUAUCUGGUAGGCCAUUCUCUGAAUGGUCAGUAUAUUAAUCUGAUUUUUGGCCUUGGGUCAUGGAGGUGGAUUCAUUCACGCCGUGACCACGGGUUGCCUUGGUGUUGCACUAUUACCGAUGGCGGCCCACAUAAG